rnacentral:rRNA from 1 species
GAUGAACGCUGGCGGCGUGCCUAAUACAUGCAAGUCGAGCGAACGGACGAGAAGCUUGCUUUUCUGAUGUUAGCGGCGGACGGGUGAGUAACACGUGGAUAACCUACCUAUAAGACUGGGAUAACUUCGGGAAACCGGAGCUAAUACCGGAUAAUAUUUUGAACCGCAUGGUUCAAAAGUGAAAGACGGUCUUGCUGUCACUUAUAGAUGGAUCCGCGCUGCAUUAGCUAGUUGGUAAGGUAACGGCUUACCAAGGCAACGAUGCAUAGCCGACCUGAGAGGGUGAUCGGCCACACUGGAACUGAGACACGGUCCAGACUCCUACGGGAGGCAGCAGUAGGGAAUCUUCCGCAAUGGGCGAAAGCCUGACGGAGCAACGCCGCGUGAGUGAUGAAGGUCUUCGGAUCGUAAAACUCUGUUGUUAGGGAAGAACAUAUGUGUAAGUAACUGUGCACAUCUUGACGGUACCUAAUCAGAAAGCCACGGCUAACUACGUG